UUCUAACUGCUACAUAUCGAAUUCAAUUUUUUAAAUCGAUACCAUGGAAUGCCACAAAUGCCACUUCCUUUUGCUCCGCUCCAACCCCUUCCGCACGAGCAGCAGCAGGAUAAAUAUAUAUGCAUAUAUAGAGCAGCAAAAAAAGGGUUAAAACAAUAGAAAAUGUUGCCAGCGACAACGUGGACAAGAAUAAGGACGAGCGGACGGGUGGCGGAGACGGAGUUCGGGCUGGAGUUGGAGUUCAAGCUCCGCAAAACAAUUCUUUAUGUGUAUUAUGCUGGGAACGCUUUUAACGGCCCGUUCAGCUGUUGUACUAUAUGCCAGGCCGGGCGGGCACAGCCCUCGACUACCCUUCCCAGUACCCACACACACACAAGCCAGCUCCUGGCUUCUCUUCUCUGGCGGCUAUGUGAGCCAAAUCAUUAUUACAACAACAAUGAACUCUAAGCGCUGCUGCUCCGUUUCUGUUGCUGUUUCUACUUCUACUUCUAUUUCUGCAUUUGUUUUCGCUGCUGUUUUUAGCGCCGUAAGCCGUGCGCCCCAUUUGCUCGGCAUUUUUCAACUGCUGCAACCGAAACCCCCCCUCUAGCUGCCGGCAAAUCCAGUGCGGACAUCGAAUCCUUUCGUUCAUAAAUCAAGUCUUUGGUUUAAUUAAAUCUUGUGUUGGCGGUAAAAACGCUUAAAGAAAAAAAAGCAAACUACAAUAAGCAAGCAAUCGCGUAGCAAGACUAUAAGAUACCCUGCACAUAGGCAUUAUCGGAAUAACUCAAUUCCUAAAUUCAUAUAUUGUGAAGCAUCAUCAAUUGGCAGAUUCUUGUUGCCGCUCAUAAUAUGCCCUGCCCUAUUUCCCCUUAGAUUGCAGGGUAUUAAGAGGCGAGGGCUAUGAGCGGUUUGCCGUCUACAUCCGGCCAAAGUGAAAGCCAAAUACACAUCUUAGCUCUUAAUGAGACCAGGAUGUAUAUUCUAAAGUAUAAUAUCUCCAACAUUUAUAUGAAGAGACGGACGGACGGACAGCAAGACAGGCAUUGCACACAACCUUUAUACUCUUUUGAUAUCCUGAAUCCUUUGUAAAUGAGUAGAAAGGAUAUACUGGCUUUGGGCGUCGCUCCCCCCAGUCUACCCAAAUUUGGAAGAGACUCACGUUUAAAGCUAUCUUUAAAGCCUUGUGAUUUGGCUUAUGCCCAUAUUUGAGCCAUUGAGGACAGGUUUGCCUUUGUUGUUGCUCUGGCAAAUCGUCAAAGAGCACAGCGACAGCAAACGGUAGAAAGAUAAAGGGAAAAGCGGAAAAACCGUAAGCAUUUAAAGUCGCGUAAGUUCGUGAACUGGAUAUGAGAAACCAACAAGGACAACAAGUGAGGAAAUAUAGUAUAAAACCGAAAGGGAAACACGUAAAAUUGAAUGCAAGACACGUUGCAGGAUUUAUUGCCAAAAGAAGCAGCCGCCAAACGCAGACUAAUAAACACUGAGAGCGAGAAAUUAAAAACAGGGAGAUAGAGAGAGAGAGAGUUA